GUGCCCGUAGCUCAGAUGGAUAGAGCGUUGGAUUCCGGUUCCAAAGGUCGGAGGUUCGAACCCUCCCGGGCAUACUA
rnacentral:tRNA from 1 species